GAUGAACGCUGGCGGCGUGCUUAACACAUGCAAGUCGAACGAAGCAUUUGCGACAGAUUUUUUCGGAAUGAAGUUGCUUAUGACUGAGUGGCGGACGGGUGAGUAACGCGUGGGUAACCUGCCUUGUACUGGGGGAUAGCAGCUGGAAACGGCUGGUAAUACCGCAUAAGCGCACAAUGUUUCAUGACAUGGUGUGAAAAACUCCGGUGGUAUAAGAUGGACCCGCGUCUGAUUAGCUAGUUGGUGAGAUAACAGGCCACCAAGGCGACGAUCAGUAGCCGACCUGGGAGGGUGACCGGCCACAUUGGGACUGAGACACGGCCCAGACUCCUACGGGAGGCAGCAGUGGGGAAUAUUGCACAAUGGAGGAAACUCUGAUGCAGCGACGCCGCGUGAGUGAAGAAGUAAUUCGUUAUGUAAAGCUCUAUCAGCAGGGAAGAUAGUGACGGUACCUGACUAAGAAGCUCCGGCUAAAUACGUG
rnacentral:rRNA from 1 species